rfam:Fusobacterium nucleatum subsp. vincentii ATCC 49256 Contig0277, whole genome shotgun sequence.
CGAGAUAGAUAACCGCUGAAAGCAUCUAAGCGGGAAACUAACUUCAAGAUAAGUAUUCUUUAAGAUACCUUCGAGCCUAGGAGGUUGAUAGAUUGGGGGUGUAAGUACAGCAAUGUAUUUAGCUGACCAAUACUAAUUAUCGAAGUUUUAAUCUA